rnacentral:rRNA from 1 species
GACCUCAAAUCAGGUAGGACUACCCGCUGAACUUAAGCAUAUCAAUAAGCGGAGGAAAAGAAACUAACGAGGAUUCCCCUAGUAACUGCGAGUGAAGCGGGAAAAGCUCAAAUUUUGAAUC